GAAAUGCGAUACGUAAUGCGAAUUGCAGAAUUCAGUGAAUCAUCAAAUCUUUGAACGCAAAUUGCGCUUCUUGGAUAGGCCAGGAAGCAUGCCUCUUUGAGCAUCGUUUUCACACCAAAGCUCGAGACUGCUGCUUUGAUUAGUAGUAUUGUUCUCGGAUAAUGAGUGAACUGCUUCUCAUUCGAAAGAAUGGGUCACUUUAAAUAGCUUUGAUUAGCUUUCCAAACAAAAACGAUUGUUAUUCAAUUCGCUUUUUCGUUGGAACGUGGAUAAUCUUUAUUUACGUAUACAAUGAGAUUGUGACGAGUGAUAAUUGUAUGGAUUUCUAAUCAGUGGAAAUUAAACAUAAGUAAAGAACGCAAGUUCUUUAUCUUUUGAAUUAGAUCUCAAAUGAAGCAAG
rnacentral:misc_RNA from 1 species